GCACUUAAAGGAUAAAGACUGAUCAGCCACAACAUUAAAACCAAUGACAGGUGAAGUAAAUAACAUUGAUUUUAUCAUUACAUUUGGCACCUGUUAAUUGGUUCAAUAUAAUAGGUAACAAUGACACGGUAAGUUCUUUAAUUUCAUGUGUUGGAAGCAGGAAAAAUGGGCAAAUGAACAAAUAUGAGUGAGAAGGGCCAAAUAGACUAGACUACUGGGUCAGAGCAUCUCCAAGAGAGAUCUUGUG